GCCUACGGGGGGCAGCAGUGGGGAAUAUUGCACAAUGGGGGAAACCCUGAUGCAGCGACGCCGCGUGAGUGAAGAAGUAUUUCGGUAUGUAAAGCUCUAUCAGCAGGGAAGAAAAUGACGGUACCUGACUAAGAAGCCCCGGCUAACUACGUGCCAGCAGCCGCGGUAAUACGUAGGGGGCAAGCGUUAUCCGGAUUUACUGGGUGUAAAGGGAGCGCAGGCGGCAGGAUGAGUCUGAUGUGAAAACCCGCGGCUCAACCACGGGAUUGCAUUGGAAACUGUCCAGCUAGGGUGUCGGAGAGGUA
rnacentral:rRNA from 1 species